AGCCAUGCAAGUCUCAGUACAUGCCGCACUAAGGUGAAACCGCAAAAGGCUCAUUAAAUCAGUUAUGGUUCCUUGGAUCUUAAACAGUUACUUGGAUAACUGUGGUAAUUCUAGAGCUAAUACAUGCAAACAAGUCCCGACCAGAGAUGGGAGGGACGCUUUUAUUAGAUCAAAACCGAUCGGCGUCCGGCUCCGGCCGGCGCCGUCUCUUUUGGUGACUCUGGAUAACUUUUAGCCGAUCGCACGGUCACAGUACCGGCGACGCAUCUUUCAAAUGUCUGACUUAUCAACUGUCGAUGGUAGGCUCUGCGCCUACCAUGGUUGUAACGGGUAACGGGGAAUCAGGGUUCGAUUCCGGAGAGGGAGCCUGAGAAACGGCUACCACAUCCAAGGAAGGCAGCAGGCGCGCAAAUUACCCACUCCCGGCACGGGGAGGUAGUGACGAAAAAUAACGAUACGGGACUCAUCCGAGGCCCCGUAAUCGGAAUGAGUACACUUUAAAUACUUUAACGAGUACCAAUUGGAGGGCAAGUCUGGUGCCAGCAGCCGCGGUAAUUCCAGCUCCAAUAGCGUAUAUUAAAGUUGUUGCGGUUAAAAAGCUCGUAGUUGGAUCUGUGUGCCACGCUGUCGGUUCACCGCCUGUCGGUGUCAACUGGCAUGUCUGUGGGACGUCCUGCCGGUGGCGGUACGGGCUGCCGGCGCUGCGUAGGGGCUCGCCCCCGAAGCACGCCGGCGUGUCCCGGUCCGCCGAUCCAAUCCCGCCGCGGUGCUCUUCACUGAGUGUCGAGGUGGGCCGGCACGUUUACUUUGAACAAAUUAGAGUGCUCAAA
rnacentral:rRNA from 1 species